GAUGAACGCUAGCUACAGGCUUAACACAUGCAAGUCGAGGGGCAGCAUGGUCUUAGCUUGCUAAGGCCGAUGGCGACCGGCGCACGGGUGAGUAACACGUAUCCAACCUGCCGUCUACUCUUGGACAGCCUUCUGAAAGGAAGAUUAAUAUCCGAUAGCAUAUAUUUCCCGCAUGGGUUUUAUAUUAAAGAAAUUCGGUAUGAGAUGGGGAUGCGUUCCAUUAGUUUGUUGGCGGGGUAACGGCCACCAAGGCGACGAUCAGUAGGGGUUCUGAGAGGAAGGUCCCCCACAUUGGAACUGAGACACGGUCCAAACUCCUACGGGAGGCAGCAGUGAGGAAUAUUGGUCAAUGGACGANAGUCUGACCAGCCAAGUAGCGUGCAGGAUGACGGCCCUAUGGGUUGUAAACUGCUUUUA
rnacentral:rRNA from 1 species